rnacentral:rRNA from 1 species
GACGAACGCUGGCGGCGUGCUUAACACAUGCAAGUCGAAAGAAGUGGCGAACGGGUGAGUAACGCGUAAUCAACCUGCACUUCAGAGGGGGACAACAGUUGGAAACGACUGCUAAUACCCAAUACAGAAGUAGGGGUGUGCGUCGGAUUAGCUAGUUGGAGGGGUAACGGCCCCCCCAGGGGAUGAUCAGUAGCCGGUCUGGGAGGUGGAACGGCCACAUUGGGACUGGGACACGGCCCAGACUCCUACGGGAGGCAGCAGUGGGGAAUCUUCCGCAAUGGACGAAAGUCUGACGAAGCAACGCCGCGUGAGUGAUGACGGCCUUCGGGUUGUAAAGCUCUGUUAAUCGGGACGCGGUACCGGAAUAGAAAGCCACGGCUAACUACGUGCCAGCAGCCGCGGUAAUUG